rfam:Schistosoma haematobium scaffold1485_2, whole genome shotgun sequence.
AUGCAGCUGACGAGUCCUAAAUAGGACGAAAUGCGCGUCUUACUGGAU